rnacentral:rRNA from 1 species
ACUAGAGUAGCACUCGCAUAUCAAUAAGCGGAGGAAAAGAAACUAACAAGGAUUCCCCUAGUAACGGCGAGUGAAGCGGGAAGAGCUCAAAUUUGAAAUCUUAAAGGGUUUCCCUUUACGAAUUGUAGUUUAAAGAAGUGUUUUCUGUUGAGGUUUUGGUAAAAGUUCUUUGGAAUAGGACAUCAUAGAGGGUGAGAAUCCCGUAUUUGACCUUUACUUUCAACUUUGUGAUACACUUUCAAAGAGUCGGAUUGUUUGGGAAUGCAGUCCAAAAUGGGUGGUAAAUUUCAUCUAAAGCUAAAUAUUGGCGAGAGACCGAUAGCGAACAAGUACCGUGAGGGAAAGAUGAAAAGAACUUUGAAAAGAGAGUUAAACAGUACGUGAAAUUGUCAAAAGGGAAGCGUUAGACACCAGUGUUGUUUUUCUGAAAAUCAAUUAAAGAACUGUUUAUGCUAAGUUGUUUAGACUUUAUCAGCUAACUGUUUAGUUUUGAGCUUUUCUUUAAUGCACUUUUCAGUUAACAAGUCAACAUCAAUUUCUUUUGCUGUAAAAAAGCUUGAGGAAGGUGGCUUGAGAGUUCGUCUUAAGUGUUUAUAGCCUCUUGCCUAUGCAGUCGGAGAGAUUGAGGUCUGCAGCGUAGAUCCUUCGGGGCUAAAUGCAUUUGUGCUAAGUUAUAGCAUUUUAUAGACAACUUGUUGACUAUGAUUUGUCUUGUAGCUUACUCGCUUAUGUUAUUUUACCUACGCUUAGGAUGUUGAGCGCAUGUCUCUCUCU